rnacentral:rRNA from 1 species
AUGAGCCACGAGGCCGGCGGCGACGAGAUAGCCCUCCGCUGCCGCCACCCGCCGACGGCCGCGCCGCUGGACGACGAGGACCUCCUCGGGGAGAUCCUCCUCCGCGUCCCCCCGCUUCCCUCCUCGCUCCUCCGCGCCUCCCUCGUCUCCAAGCUACGCGGAGGCGUCGCCACCGCCCCCUCCUUCAGCCGCCGCUUCGUCGCCCACCACCGGAGGCCCCCCGUCCUCAGUUUCUUCUAG